GGGGUUGUGGCUCAAUGGUAGAGCGCUCACCUAGCAUGUGUCAGGCCCUGGGUUCCAUCCUCAGCACCACA
rnacentral:tRNA from 1 species